UACAGAGGGUGCGAGCGUUAAUCGGAAUUACUGGGCGUAAAGCGCGCGUAGGCGGCUUGAUAUGUCGGGUGUGAAAUCCCCGGGCUCAACCUGGGAACUGCAUCCGAAACUGCCUUGCUAGAGUAUGGGAGAGGGAAGUGGAAUUUCCGGUGUAGCGGUGAAAUGCGUAGAUAUCGGAAGGAACAUCAGUGGCGAAGGCGACUUCCUGGACCAAUACUGACGCUCAGGUGCGAAAGCGUGGGGAGCAAACAGG
rnacentral:rRNA from 1 species